rnacentral:rRNA from 1 species
CGUGAUGGGGUGGCCGCAAGGCUGGAAGCAACUGAUUUCACACUGUCAAGAAAAGCCGCUAGCGAGACCGUAGGUGCCCGUACCGCAAACCGACACAGGUAGAUGAGGAGAGAAUCCUAAGGUGAGCGAGAGAACUAUUGUUAAGGAACUCGGCAAAAUAACCCCGUAACUUCGGGAGAAGGGGUGCUCCGGAAACGGAGCCGCAGUGAAAAGUCCCAGGCGACUGUUUACCAAAAACACAGGUCUCUGCGAAAGCGAAAGCUGAAGUAUAGGGGCUGACGCCUGCCCGGUGCUGGAAGGUUAAGGGGAUGUGUUAGGGCAACCGAAGCACUGAACUUAAGCCCCAGUAAACGGCGGCCGUAACAAUAACGGUCCUAAGGUAGCGAAAUUCCUUGUCGGGUAAGUUCCGACCCGCACGAAAGGCGUAACGAUCUGGGAACUGUCUCAACAAUAGACUCGGUGAAAUUGUAGUACCGGUAAAGAUGCCGGUUACCCGCAGCAGGACGGAAAGACCCCAUGGAGCUUUACUGUAGCUUGAUAUUGAGAUUCGGCGUUGCAUGUACAGGAUAGGUGGGAGACUGCGAGGUAAGUACGCCAGUAUUUACGGAGUCACCGUUGGGAUACCACCCUUGUAACGUUGAGUUUCUAACAUUGCGCCGUGAUCCGGCGCAUGGACAGUGUCAGGUGGGCAGUUUGACUGGGGCGGUCGCCUCCUAAAGAGUAACGGAGGCGCCCAAAGGUUCCCUCAGUGCGGUCGGAAAUCGCGCGAAGAGUGUAAAGGCAGAAGGGAGCUUGACUGCGAGACAGACAAGUCGAGCAGGGACGAAAGUCGGGCUUAGUGAUCCGGUGGUUCCGCGUGGAAGGGCCAUCGCUCAACGGAUAAAAGCUACCCUGGGGAUAACAGGCUGAUACCGCCCAAGAGUUCACAUCGACGGCGGUGUUUGGCACCUCGAUGUCGGCUCGUCUCAUCCUGGGGCUGAAGUAGGUCCCAAGGGUUGGGCUGUUCGCCCAUUAAAGAGGUACGCGAGCUGGGUUCAGAACGUCGUGAGACAGUUCGGUCCCUGUCCGCUGUGGGCGUUGGAGAUUUGAGUGGAGCUGUUCCUAGUACGAGAGGACCGGGAUGGACGUAGCUCUGGUGCACCAGUUGUUCUGCCAAGGGCAUCGCUGGGUAGCUACCUACGGACGGGAUAAGCGCUGAAAGCAUCUAAGUGCGAAGCCCCCCACGAGAAAAGAUCUCCUCCA